UUUUUAAUUGAGAUCUUGUAUGAAUGAUUGGACAAAAGGAAAACUGUCUUUAUAUUAAAAUUUGAAUUUAACUUUUAAGUGAAAAGGCUUAAAUUUUCUAAAGGGACGAUAAGACCCUAUAAAACUUUACAUUAAAAUUAAUAUUUUAUUGAAUUUUUAUUAUAAUAAUUUAAUUUAAUUUUUUGUUAUGUUGGGGAGACAAAAGCUAAAAUUUAUAUUAACUGCUUGGGAGAAAAACAAUAAUAAAUGAGUUACAGUUUAUAGAUCCUUUAUAAAGAUUAAGAGAUUAAGUUACUUUAGGGAUAACAGCGUUAUUUUUUUUUAGAGUUCAUAUCAAAAAAAAAGAUUGCGACCUCGAUGUUGAAUUAAAAUAUCUUUAUAAUGCAGGUGUUAUAAAAGAAAGUCUGUUCGACUUUUAAUUUUUUA
rnacentral:rRNA from 1 species